GACGAACGCUGGCGGCGUGCUUAACACAUGCAAGUCGAACGGAAAGGCCUUUUCGGAGGUACUCGAGUGGCGAACGGGUGAGUAACACGUGGGUGAUCUGCCCUGCACUCUGGGAUAAGCCUGGGAAACUGGGUCUAAUACCGGAUAGGACCGCACUUUAGUGUGUGUGGUGGAAAGUUUUUUCGGUGUAGGAUGAGCCCGCGGCCUAUCAGCUUGUUGGUGGGGUAAUGGCCUACCAAGGCGGCGACGGGUAGCCGGACUGAGAGGUUGGUCGGCCACAUUGGGACUGAGAUACGGCCCAGACUCCUACGGGAGGCAGCGGUGGGGAAUAUUGCACAAUGGGCGCAAGCCUGAUGCAGCGACGCCGCGUGGGGGAGGACGGCCUUCGGGUUGUAAACUCCGUUCGCCAGGGACGAAGCGUUUUGUGACGGUACCUGGAGAAGAAGCACCGGCUAACUACGUG
rnacentral:rRNA from 1 species